rnacentral:lncRNA from 1 species
CUCGGCCUACCAGCCCGGGGGCUCCGAGGCUCGCGCCGGAGGCGGGGCAUCGCCGCGCCGGCCGCCAACGGCCACUGCAACGGUCCCUACCGGGGAGGGCCGGCUUUUGCCGGCUUCCGGAGAAGGGAGGAAAGAGAGAGGUUUACCUAACACUGUAAAGAGAACGUUCAAUGAAAUACAAAGAAAAAGAUGAUUUUUUUGCUCCAAGAGAAUUAUUCCAGCCUUGGGGUGGAGUGGGUGUGGACAGUGAGCAGAAAAACAAGAAACCAAGUUCUGGGAGGAAAUAAAAUGAAUAUAAUCAGUGGAAAAUUCAGCAACGCAAUAUUGUGUGACAACAGUAAAUGACCAAUUUAUAAUUUAAAUUCUAUGAAAAAGAGAUUUAGAAGAGAGUUCUACCAAACCCACUGUUCCCUAGGGAAUAAAAUGAGUAACGCUGACUGGCAACAGUGCAUCCUGAGGGAGCCUGGAGAAACAACAGCAGCCUCCGACCUCAAGAUAUCCUGGUAGUGCUGUGACAGUGUCUUAAGUAGGGCAUGUUGAUAGAUGGAAAAGGACGGCAAACUCGAGGUGCUGAUUCAGGAAGAAGCAGAUUCCAAGAUGGAAGAGAAAAUAUCGAGAGAAAUAUGCCGAGAGAAGAAUCCAGGCAGAAUGGAAUCCAGGCAGAAUGGUGAAUGGAAGGUUCGGGUGACCAAGAGAAAGGAAGGGUGACUCAGCAAGUCUGUAGUUUCAGCUCUUGUAUAGUACGUUAUACUUGAAAAGCUGAAGCCUUUUCUCGGGGAAGAGUCAGAACGGCCUGGAGGGCUUGCUAAAGCGCUGCUGGCUGGGCCCCGCCCGCUGAAUGACUAAUGGAGACUCUGAGGGCCGGCUGGUAAUUUGAGUUUCUAACAAGCCCUGUUUCGAUGCUGGUACAGCCGAUCUAGGGAAAAUAUUGGAACAAGGAAAAAACUAAGAAGAAAUUUUAAAAAGUAAUCAAAGGCGGCCAAGUGAGGUGGCUCACGCCUGUGAUC